AACGAACGCUGGCGGCAGGCUUAACACAUGCAAGUCGAACGAGAUCUUCAGAUCUAGUGGCAGACGGGUGAGGAACACGUGGGAACAUCCCUUUCAGUUCGGAAUAACGUUGGGAAACUAACGCUAAUACCGGAUACGUCCUUCGGGAGAAAGAUUUAUCGCUGAAAGAUUGGCCCGCGUCUGAUUAGCUAGUUGGUGAGGUAAUGGCUCACCAAGGCUACGAUCAGUAGCUGAUCUGAGAGGAUGAUCAGCCACAUUGGGACUGAGACACGGCCCAAACUCCUACGGGAGGCAGCAGUGGGGAAUAUUGGACACUGGGCGCAAGCCUGAUCCAGCCAUGCCGCGUGAGUGAUGACGGCCUUCGGGUUGUAAAGCUCUUUUGUCCGGGAAGAUAAUGACUGUACCGGAAGAAUAAGCCCCGGCAAACUUCGUGCCAGCCGCCGCAGUAA
rnacentral:rRNA from 1 species